rnacentral:rRNA from 1 species
GAUGAACGCUGGCGGCGUGCCUAAUACAUGCAAGUCGAGCGAACAGAUGAGGAGCUUGCUCCUCUGACGUUAGCGGCGGACGGGUGAGUAACACGUGGAUAACCUACCUAUAAGACUGGGAUAACUUCGGGAAACCGGAGCUAAUACCGGAUAAUAUAUUGAACCGCAUGGUUCAAUAGUGAAAGACGGUUUUGCUGUCACUUAUAGAUGGAUCCGCGCCGCAUUAGCUAGUUGGUAAGGCAACGGCUUACCAAGGCAACGAUGCGUAGCCGACCUGAGAGGGUGAUCGGCCACACUGGAACUGAGACACGGUCCAGACUCCUACGGGAGGCAGCAGUAGGGAAUCUUCCGCAAAGGGCGAAAGCCUGACGGAGCAACGCCGCGUGAGUGAUGAAGGUCUUCGGAUCGUAAAACUCUGUUAUUAGGGAAGAACAAAUGUGUAAGUAACUAUGCACGUCUUGACGGUACCUAAUCAGAAAGCCACGGCUAACUACGUG